rnacentral:rRNA from 1 species
UGCCAGGCAGCCGCGGUAAUUCCAGCUCCAAUAGCGUAUACUAAAGUUGUUGCGGUUAAAAAGCUCGUAGUUGGAUCUUGGAAUGUGUUCAAGCGGGUCAGCUUCUGGCUGUGCGCUGCUUGACGUGUUCUUCUAUUUGGUUUUGGCGCGGUGCGCUUAACUGCGUGUCGCUCCCGGCCGAAACGCUUACCUUGAAAAAAUUAGAGUGUUCAAAGCAGACCUGUUUGAGUCUGAAUAUUCGUGCAUGGAAUAAUGAAAUAUGAAUUCGGUUCUAUUUUGUUGGUUUUCGGAACUCGAGUUAAUGAUCAAGAGGGACAGACGGGGGCAUUCGUACUCUGCCGUUAGAGGUGAAAUUCUUGGAUCGGCGGAAGACGCGCAACCGCGAAAGCAUUUGCCAAGAAUGUUUUCUUUAAUCAAGAACGAUAGUCGGAGGUUCGAAGACGAUCAGAUACCGUCCUAGUUUCGACUGUAAACUAUGCCAGCUAACGAUCAGACAGAGUUCUCUACGACUUGUCUGGCAGUUUCCGGGAAACCAAAGCGUUUGGGUUCCGGGGGAAGUAUGGUUGCAAAGCUGAAACUUAAAGGAAUUGACGGAAGGGCACCACCAGGAGUGGAGCCUGCGGCUUAAUUUGACUCAACACGGGGAAACUCACCCGGCCCGGACACAGUGAGGAUUGACAGAUUGAGAGUUCUUUCUUGAUUCUGUGGGUGGUGGUGCAUGGCCGUUCUUAGUUGGUGGAGCGAUUUGUCUGGUUAAUUCCGAUAACGAACGAGACUCUGGCAUGUUAAAUAGUCGCGGAAGUGCGUAUGCACUUGCCGAAUUGACUUCUUAGAGGGACUAGUGAUUUUAAUUCACACGAGAUUGAGCAAUAACAGGUCUGUGAUGCC